UCCGAUAUGGUGUAGUGGUUAGCAUUGGUCGCUUUCAUUUCCAGCCGUCAAAAGCUCCAAAUCAAGCGCCGACUAGACCCGGGUUCAAUUCCCGGUAUCGGAA
rfam:Pyronema omphalodes CBS 100304, CBS100304, WGS project CATG01000000 data, contig: Pcon_v1_contig1608